rnacentral:rRNA from 1 species
UACGUAGGGGGCUAGCGUUGUCCGGAAUCAUUGGGCGUAAAGCGCGUGUAGGCGGCCCGGUAAGUCCGCUGUGAAAGUCGGGGGCUCAACCCUCGGAAGCCGGUGGAUACUGUCGGGCUCGAGUACGGAAGAGGCGAGUGGAAUUCCUGGUGUAGCGGUGAAAUGCGCAGAUAUCAGGAGGAACACCUAUUGCGAAGGCAGCUCACUGGGACGUUACUGACGCUGAGACGCGAAAGCGUGGGGAGCAAACAGG